AGUGAACGCUGGCGGUAGGCCUAACACAUGCAAGUCGAACGGCAGCACAGUAAGAGCUUGCUCUUACGGGUGGCGAGUGGCGGACGGGUGAGGAAUACAUCGGAAUCUACUUUUUCGUGGGGGAUAACGUAGGGAAACUUACGCUAAUACCGCAUACGACCUACGGGUGAAAGCAGGGGAUCUUCGGACCUUGCGCGAUUGAAUGAGCCGAUGUCGGAUUAGCUAGUUGGCGGGGUAAAGGCCCACCAAGGCGACGAUCCGUAGCUGGUCUGAGAGGAUGAUCAGCCACACUGGAACUGAGACACGGUCCAGACUCCUACGGGAGGCAGCAGUGGGGAAUAUUGGACAAAGGGCGCAAGCCUGAUCCAGCCAUACCGCGUGGGUGAAGAAGGCCUUCGGUUUGUAAAGCCCUUUUGUUGGGAAAGAAAAGCAGCAGGUUAAUACCCCGCUGUUCUGACGGUACCCAAAGAAUAAGCACCGGCUAACUUCGUG
rnacentral:rRNA from 1 species